ACGAACGCUGGCGGCGUGCUUAACACAUGCACGUCGAACGGAAAGGCCCUGCUUGCAGGGUACUCGAGUGGCGAACGGGUGAGUAACACGUGGGUGAUCUGCCCUGCACUUCGGGAUAAGCCUGGGAAACUGGGUCUAAUACCGGAUAGGAGCCAUUUUUAGUGUGAUGGUUGGAAAGUUUUUUCGGUGUAGGAUGAGCUCGCGGCCUAUCAGCUUGUUGGUGGGGUAAUGGCCUACCAAGGCGGCGACGGGUAGCCGGCCUGAGAGGGUGGACGGCCACAUUGGGACUGAGAUACGGCCCAGACUCCGACGGGAGGCAGCAGUGGGGAAUAUUGCACAAUGGGCGCAAGCCUGAUGCAGCGACGCCGCGUGGGGGAUGACGGCCUUCGGGUUGUAAACUCCUUUCGCUAGGGACGAAGCUUUUUGUGACGGUACCUAGAUAAGAAGCACCGGCUAACUACGUG
rnacentral:rRNA from 1 species